rnacentral:rRNA from 1 species
UGGGGGAUAUUGCACAAUGGGGGAAACCCUGAUGCAGCGACGCCGCGUGGAGGAAGAAGGUUUUCGGAUUGUAAACUCCUGUCGUUAGGGACGAUAAUGACGGUACCUAACAAGAAAGCACCGGCUAACUACGUGCCAGCAGCCGCGGUAAAACGUAGGGUGCAAGCGUUGUCCGGAAUUACUGGGUGUAAAGGGAGCGCAGGCGGACCGGCAAGUUGGAAGUGAAAUCUAUGGGCUCAACCCAUAAAUUGCUUUCAAAACUGCUGGCCUUGAGUAGUGCAGAGGUAGGUGGAAUUCCCGGUGUAGCGGUGGAAUGCGUAGAUAU